UUGCGUUAAGGAUGGAAGUGGAAAUCCUUUUUAUUUUUUAUUUCAAAAAAUAAAAAGAUUGAGAACGGACAGCCUGACCCGCU
rnacentral:sRNA from 1 species